rnacentral:miRNA from 1 species
UUGUGGCAGUGUACAUCUAA